CAGAGAUGCUUUGGUGCCUUCGGGAACUCUGAGACAGGUGCUGCAUGGCUGUCGUCAGCUCGUGUUGUGAAAUGUUGGGUUAAGUCCCGCAACGAGCGCAACCCUUUAUCCUUUGUUGCCAGCGGUUCGGCCGGGAGCUCAAAGGAGACUGCCGGUGAUAAACCGGAGGAAGGUGGGGAUGACGUCAAGUCAUCAUGGCCCUUACGGCCAGGGCUACACACGUGCUACAAUGGCGCAUACAAAGAGAAGCGACCUCGCGAGAGCAAGCGGACCUCAUAAAGUGCGUCGUAGUCCGGAUUGGAGUCUGCAACUCGACUCCAUGAAGUCGGAAUCGCUAGUAAUCGUAGAUCAGAAUGCUACGGUGAAUACGUUCCCGGGCCUUGUACACACCGCCCGUCACACCAUGGGAGUGGGUUGCAAAAGAAGUAGGUAGCUUAACCUUCGGGAGGGCGCUUACCACUUUGUGAUUCAUGACUGGGGUGAAGUCGUAACAAGGUAAGCGUAGUGCU
rnacentral:rRNA from 1 species